rnacentral:rRNA from 1 species
UACGUAGGAGGCGAGCGUUGUCCGGAGUUACUGGGCGUAAAGGGUGCGCAGGCGGUGGCCCGCGUGGGCGGUGAAAGCUCCUGGCUCAACUGGGAGAGGGCCGUCCAGACGGGGUCACUUGAGGGGCGGAGAGGGGCGUGGAAUUCCGGGUGGAGCGGUGAAAUGCGUAGAGAUCGGGAGGAAGGCCGGUGGCGAAGGCGGCGCUCUGGAACGUUUCUGACACUGAGGCUCGAAAGCGUGGGGAGCAAACAGG